UACGUAGGGUGCGAGCGUUGUCCGGAAUUACUGGGCGUAAAGAGCUCGUAGGCGGUUUGUCGCGUCGAAUGUGAAAACCCGGGGCUCAACCCCGGGCCUGCAUUCGAUACGGGCAGACUAGAGUUCGGUAGGGGAGUCUGGAAUUCCUGGUGUAGCGGUGAAAUGCGCAGAUAUCAGGAGGAACACCGGUGGCGAAGGCGGGUCUCUGGGCCGAUACUGACGCUGAGGAGCGAAAGCGUGGGGAGCGAACAGG
rnacentral:rRNA from 1 species